rnacentral:tRNA from 1 species
GCCUUCGUAGCUCAGGGGUUAGAUAGAGCACUGGUCUUGUAAACCAGGGGUCGAGAGUUCAAAUCUCUCCGAGGGCU